GGAGAGAUGGCUGAGUGGUCGAAAGCACCGGUCUUGAAAACCGGCGAACGUUAACGCGUUCCUAGGGUUCAAAUCCCUAUCUCUCCGCCA
rnacentral:tRNA from 1 species